UACGGAGGGGGCUAGCGUUGUUCGGAAUUACUGGGCGUAAAGGGCGCGUAGGCGGCGCGAUAAGUUGGGCGUGAAAGGCCCGGGCUCAACCCGGGGACUGCGCUUGAUACUGUCGCGCUGUGAGUCCGGGAGAGGAUGGCGGAAUUCCCAGUGUAGAGGUGAAAUUCGUAGAUAUUCGCAAGAACACCAGUGGCGAAGGCGGCUCACUGGUCCGGUACUGACGCUGAGGUGCGAAAGCGUGGGGAGCAAACAGG
rnacentral:rRNA from 1 species